UACAGAGGUCUCGAGCGUUAGGCGGAAUCACUGGGCUUAAAGCGUGUGUAGGCGGAUCGUUAAGUGCCUUGUGAAAUCCCACGGCUCAACCGUGGAACUGCUUGGCAUACUGGCGGUCUUGAGCAACCUAGGGGCGAGCGGAACAAAUGGUGGAGCGGUGAAAUGCGUAGAUAUCAUUUGGAACGCCAAUGGUGAAAACAGCUCGCUGGGGGUUUGCUGACGCUGAGACACGAAAGCCAGGGGAGCAAACGAG
rnacentral:rRNA from 1 species